rnacentral:rRNA from 1 species
GAUGAACGCUGGCGGCGUGCCUAAUACAUGCAAGUCGAGCGAACAGACGAGGAGCUUGCUCCUUUGACGUUAGCGGCGGACGGGUGAGUAACACGUAGGUAACCUACCUAUAAGACUGGGAUAACUUCGGGAAACCGGAGCUAAUACCGGAUAAUAUUUCGAACCGCUUGGUUCGAUAGUGAAAGAUGGCUUUGCUAUCACUUAUAGAUGGACCUGCGCCGUAUUAGCUAGUUGGUAAGGUAACGGCUUACCAAGGCAACGAUACGUAGCCGACCUGAGAGGGUGAGCGGCCACACUGGAACUGAGACACGGUCCAGACUCCUACGGGAGGCAGCAGUAGGGAAUCUUCCGCAAUGGGCGAAAGCCUGACGGAGCAACGCCGCGUGAGUGAUGAAGGUCUUCGGAUCGUAAAACUCUGUUAUUAGGGAAGAACAAACGUGUAAGUAACUGUGCACGUCUUGACGGUACCUAAUCAGAGAGCCACGGCUAACUACGUG